GACGAACGCUGGCGGCGUGCUUAACACAUGCAAGUCGAACGGAAAGGCCCUGCUUUUGUGGGGUGCUCGAGUGGCGAACGGGUGAGUAACACGUGAGUAACCUGCCCUUGACUUUGGGAUAACUUCAGGAAACUGGGGCUAAUACCGGAUAGGAGCUCCUGCUGCAUGGUGGGGGUUGGAAAGUUUCGGCGGUUGGGGAUGGACUCGCGGCUUAUCAGCUUGUUGGUGGGGUAGUGGCUUACCAAGGCUUUGACGGGUAGCCGGCCUGAGAGGGUGACCGGCCACAUUGGGACUGAGAUACGGCCAGGCCUCCUACGGGAGGCAGCAGUGGGGAAUAUUGCACAAUGGGCGGAAGCCUGAUGCAGCAACGCCGCGUGCGGGAUGACGGCCUUCGGGUUGUAAACCGCUUUCGCCUGUGACGAAGCGUGAGUGACGGUAAUGGGUAAAGAAGCACCGGCUAACUACGUG
rnacentral:rRNA from 1 species